GACGAACGCUGGCGGCGUGCUUAACACAUGCAAGUCGAACGGUAAGGCCCUUCGGGGUACACGAGUGGCGAACGGGUGAGUCACACGUGGGUGAUCUGCCCUGCACUUCGGGAUAAGCCUGGGAAACUGGGUCUAAUACCGGAUAGGACCCUGGGAUGCAUGUCCUGGGGUGGACAGCUUUUGCGGUGUGGGAUGGGCCCGCGGCCUAUCAGCUUGUUGGUGGGGUGAUGGCCUACCAAGGCGACGACGGGUCGCCGGCCUGAGAGGGUGACCGGUCACACUGGGACUGAGAUACGGCCCAGACGCCUACGGGAGGCAGCAGUGGGGAAUAUUGCACAAUGGGCGCAAGCCUGAUGCAGCGACGCCGCGUGAGGGAUGACGGCCUUCGGGUUGUAAACCUCUUUCAGCUAUGACGAAGCGCAAGUGACGGUAGUAGCAGAAGAAGGACCGGCCAACUACGUGCCAGCAGCCGCCGUAA
rnacentral:rRNA from 1 species